CCUACGGGUGGCUGCAGUGGGGAAUAUUGGACAAUGGGGGGAACCCUGAUCCAGCCAUGCCGCGUGUGUGAAGAAGGCCCUCGGGUUGUAAAGCACUUUCAGUGAGGAAGAACGCCUGGUGGUUAAUACCCAUCAGGAAAGACAUCACUCACAGAAGAAGCACCGGCUAACUCCGUGCCAGCAGCCGCGGUAAUACGGAGGGUGCGAGCGUUAAUCGGAAUUACUGGGCGUAAAGCGCGCGUAGGUGGCUUGAUAAGCCGGUUGUGAAAGCCCCGAGCUCAACCUGGGAACGGCAUCCGGAACUGUCAAGCUAGAGUGCAGGAGAGGAAGGUAGAAUUCCCGGUGUAGCGGUGAAAUGCGUAGAGAUCGGGAGGAAUACCAGUGGCGAAGGCGGCCUUCUGGACUGACACUGACACUGAGGUGCGAAAGCGUGGGUAGCAAACAGGAUUAGAUACCCGUGUAGUC
rnacentral:rRNA from 1 species